rnacentral:sRNA from 1 species
UAGCGCCACAGAGGGCGAAAGAGCCGUC